rnacentral:tRNA from 1 species
AAAUUAGAAAGCGAAAGUUGCAUUUAGUUUCGACCUAACCCUUGGUGAUAAACCUCUAAUU